GUUCUCUGCCGGGAAGGGGCUAGAGUCACCCCCAGGAGCAGGAGUUGGGGCACCAGGAUUCCCGAGAGUCACUGGGAGGUAGAGGGUCCACCCAUGGAAACGAGGCGAUGGAUGGAUUGGGAAGGAGACACACGUGCUGGAUAAUGAGAGAAAAUGAGAAGAUUGGACCUGAUGACUUUCAAGGUCCCGACCUAUGAUCCUAUGAUCAAAGGAGGCAAUAAGGAAUGUCCUCUGGAGAGGUGACCCAAGGUUCAGGGUAUCAUGGAGAAGGAAGUAUGCCUUGAAAGAAUGGAAGAAGUGCUUCCAGUAGGAAGAAAGGUGUGGAGAAGCAGAGGGGGAUCCUAAACUGUGUCAAGAGUUUGGAAAAUAUUGGUCCCAAGAGUAGUCCAGACAGGACAUUUCUAGAUUGGGAAUGCUUUCCAGUGCAUGUGCAGAAAUUCAGGUUUCUUAUACAUGAAGGACUGAAUGCUGAAGGCCAAAAAACAGAGGAUGGCACCAGUCCACAGCAGGAUGGAGAAGCC